AUACGUAGGGUGCGAGCGUUGUCCGGAAUUACUGGGCGUAAAGAGCUCGUAGGUGGUUUGUCGCGUCGUCUGUGAAAUUCCGGGGCUUAACUCCGGGCGUGCAGGCGAUACGGGCAUAACUUGAGUACUGUAGGGGAGACUGGAAUUCCUGGUGUAGAGGUGAAAUGCGCAGAUAUCAGGAGGAACACCGGUGGCGAAGGCGGGUCUCUGGGCAGUAACUGACGCUGAGGAGCGAAAGCAUGGGUAGCGAACAGGAUUAGAUACCCUGGUAGUCCAUGCCGUAAACGGUGGGCGCUAGGUGUAGGGGUCUUCCACGACUUCUGUGCCGUAGCUAACGCAUUAAGCGCCCCGCCUGGGGAGUACGGCCGCAAGGCUAAAACUCAAAUGAAUGGACGGGG
rnacentral:rRNA from 1 species